GCAGUAUCUAAGUAAUUAACUUACACUGCACAAUUUAAAUUGAUCGUCUAUGGAGCGUCUGAAAUAUUCAAACCGGUCAAGUACGAGUGGCACUCGUGUAUAGAUAGAUGGUUCCGCUCAAUGAUGGUAUAGAGACAUGGUAAAUACAAAAGGUGAAGUUCACAAGGGGAGUACAUAAGUGAAGCAGAUAAGGUCUAUAAGGAAGUACAUAAGGAGGUCUAUAAGGAAGAACAUAAGCAGGUCUAUAAGGAAUUAGGUACAUAAGGAGAUAUAUAAGGAAGUACAUAAUUAUGUAUAUCAGGGGAGUAUAUAAGGAAGUACAUAAGGGGAGUAUGUAAGGACAUUGGGAAUAAUCGAAGUAGGUACAUGAGGAGGUAUAUAAAUAAGUAAAGAUAAUUGAUUACAUUAUAGGAGUACAUAAGGGGAGUACACAUGGAAGUAUAUAAGUGGAGUACAUAAGGAAAUACAUAAGGGGAGUACAUAACUACACCCUUGUCAUAAAAUAUUUGUUCACUGUUUGCGUAACGUGCGUCGCAACGAAGCCAUUAAAUUGCUACUACAUACCAAUUGAUAAUAAAUAAAUAGUAAAACAAAUAAAACAAGUGUAAUUUUCUUAACGUUUUAUUAAAAGACAACUUAGAUCAAGCAGUUAAAUUAAUAACAAAAUAAUACAACAUAGGGACUAUCGCCAAUGCAUUUGUUAGCAAAGGGAACAUUUUUUCACUUCAUUCAUCAUAAGUAUGUAUGCCCAUUCAAAUAGUUAUUUAUAUAAAAAUUCGAAACUAUACAUUUGCAAAAUGUAACUUUUCAUACAUCAUUUACAAAAUCAUAAUUGCUUAAAAAAGGUCUAGCUAGGUAGUACAUAAGAUUUAUUUUAUCUGAGUAGCGUAAUAAGAAUUAAGUGAAAAUUAUGUGAAUCCAUAAAUACAGUAGAAGUGAUAUAUGAGUAAAUAGCUUGAAAUUAAAUUACAUGAAAACUCUGAUGAUUACAUGACAAAAAUAUAACAUCAACUAGGUAUUUGGUAACA
rnacentral:lncRNA from 1 species